UACGUAGGGUGCAAGCGUUGUCCGGAAUUAUUGGGCGUAAAGAGCUCGUAGGCGGUUUGUUGCGUCGGCUGUGAAAUCCCGAGGCUCAACCUCGGGUCUGCAGUCGAUACGAGCAAACUAGAGUGUUGCAGGGGAGACUGGAAUUCCUGGUGUAGCGGUGAAAUGCGCAGAUAUCAGGAGGGACACCGGUGGCGAAGGCGGCUUUCUGGGCCUUACCUGACGCUGAGGAGCGAAAGCUGGGGGAGCAAACAGG
rnacentral:rRNA from 1 species